UACGGGUGCGGAACACGUGUGCACUGCUUUAUCUGGGGGAUAGCCUUUCGAAAGGAAGAUUAAUACCCCAUAAUAUGUUGAAUGGCAUCAUUCGACAUUGAAAACUCCGGUGGAUAGAGAUGGGCACGCGCAAGAAUUAGAUAGUUGGUGAGGUAACGGUCACCAAGUCUACGAUCUUUAGGGGGCCCGAGAGGGUGAUCCCCCACACUGGUACUGAGACACGGACCAGACUCCUACGGGAGGCAGCAGUGAGGAAUAUUGGACAAUGGGUGAGAGCCUGAUCCAGCAUCCCGGUGAAGGACGAUUGCCUAUGGGUUGUAAACUUCUUUUGUCAUCAGGGAUAAACUACCUCGUGAGGGUAGCUUGAAGGUACUAUACGAAUAAAGCACCGGGUAAACUCCAGUGCCAAGCAAGCCGGGGACAUACGGGAAGGGGUGGACAAAGCCGGUUAAUCCCGGGGAAUUACAAUNGGGGGUUGUAAACACGGGGUCACAGGACGGGCGGGGAUUCCAUGAAAGCGACCAGUGGGGUGGAAAACCUUCCACAGGAUUCAAAGNGGGUGAAAAAUAGGGCGCCUAUGGGAUAUACUGGAGCGAGAGA
rnacentral:rRNA from 1 species